CCUACGGGGGGCAGCAGUGGGGAAUAUUGGGCAAUGGGCGCAAGCCUGACCCAGCAACGCCGCGUGAAGGAAGAAGGCUUUCGGGUUGUAAACUUCUUUUGUCAGGGACGAAGCAAGUGACGGUACCUGACGAAUAAGCCACGGCUAACUACGUGCCAGCAGCCGCGGUAAUACGUAGGUGGCAAGCGUUAUCCGGAUUUAUUGGGUGUAAGGGGCGUGUAGGCGGGAAUGCAAGUCAGAUGUGAAAACUAUGGGCUCAACCCAUAGCCUGCAUUUGAAACUGGCAAACUGGAGUGUGUGAGAGGAUAGUGGAAUGCCAGGUGUAGGAGUGAAAUCCGUAGAUAUCUGGAAGAACAUCAGUGGCGAAGGCGACUAUCUGGCACAUAACUGACGCUGAGGAGCGAAAGCGUGGGUAGCAAACAGGAUUAGAUACCCUGGUAGUC
rnacentral:rRNA from 1 species